rnacentral:misc_RNA from 1 species
UCUCCGUUGGUGAACCAGCGGAGGGAUCAUUACCGAGUUUACAACUCCCAAACCCAAUGUGAACCAUACCAAACUGUUGCCUCGGCGGGGUCACGCCCCGGGUGCGUCGCAGCCCCGGAACCAGGCGCCCGCCGGAGGGACCAACCAAACUCUUUCUGUAGUCCCCUCGCGGACGUUAUUUUUACAGCUCUGAGCAAAAAUUCAAAAUGAAUCAAAACUUUCAACAACGGAUCUCUUGGUUCUGGCAUCGAUGAAGAACACAGC